UGGACACUCUGUAUCUGAUGGUCAUCUGGCUGAUACACAAAUAUGUAAAGUUGUUGACAAGGACACAAUCAGAAAUGUUAACUGUUCCGAGCGAAUGCCUUUCAUGUGCCAUAAGGAUAAUACGAGUAUAUUUGUCGAUAUGAAAAGGAACUGGUGUCAGGCUCAGCACUACUGCAGAAGACAAAACAAAGACUUGAUCAAUGACACAUAUG